UGAAUACGAGACGCUAAGGCGUCGAAGUAGUGUAUGUCAUACUUCCAAGAAAAGCUUGCACUGUCAUAGAUAAAAAACGCCUGUACCAUAACCGACACAGGUGGGUAGGUAGAGUAUACUGAGGGGCGCGAGAUAACUCUCUCUAAGGAACUCGGCAAAAUAACUCCGUAACUUCGGGAGAAGGAGUGCCUUAUUCGUAAGGUUGCAAUAACAAGAUCCAAGCAACUGUGUAUCAAAAACACAGGUCUCCGCUAAGUCGUAAGACGAUGUAUGGGGGCUGACGCCUGCCCAGUGCCAGAAGGUUAAAGAAGUUGGUUAGCAAUUGCGAAGCUGAUAACUGAAGCCCUGGUGAACGGCGGCCGUAACGAUAACGGUCCUAAGGUAGCGAAAUUCCUUGUCGGGUAAGUUCCGACCCGCACGAAAGGCGUAAUGAUUUGGAUACUGUCUCGGAGAGGGGCUCGGCGAAAUAGACUUGUCUGUGAAGAUGCGGACUACCUGCACCAGGACAGAAAGACCCUAUGAAGCUUUACUGUAACUUGAAAUUGAAAUUGGACUUUAUUCGCGCAGUAUAGGUGGGAGGCGUUGAUUAUAAUCUUGUGGGAUUAUUGGAGCCAUCAGUGAGAUACCACUCUUGUAAUGUUAGAUUUCUAACUUUGAAUCAUUAUCUGGUCAAAGAACAGUUUCAGGCGGGCAGUUUGACUGGGGCGGUCGCCUCCUAAACGGUAACGGAGGCGUACAAAGGUUUCCUCUGAACGGUUAGAAAUCGUAUCUAGAGUGUAAAGGCAUAAGGAAGCUUGACUGUGAGACCUACAAGUCGAGCAGGGACGAAAGUCGGUCUUAGUGAUCUGACGGUACUGAGUGGAAAGGCCGUCACUCAACGGAUAAAAGUUACUCUAAGGAUAACAGGCUGAUCUCCCCCAAGAGUUCACAUCGACGGGGAGGUUUGGCACCUCGAUGUCGGCUCAUCGCAUCCUGGGGCGGUAGUACGUCCCAAGGGUUGGGCUGUUCGCCCAUGAAAGCGGUACGCGAGCUGGGUUCAGAACGUCGUGAGACAGUUCGGUCCAUAUCCGGUGUAGGCGUUAGAAUAUUGAGAGGAGCCUUCUUUAGUACGAGAGGACCGAGAAGGACAUACCUCUGGUGUACCAGUUAUCGUGCCAACGGUAAACGCUGGGUAGCUAUGUAUGGAGUGGAUAACCGCUGAAAGCAUCUAAGUGGGAAGCCCACCUCAAGAUAAGUAUUCUCAUCA
rnacentral:rRNA from 1 species